rfam:Canis lupus familiaris chromosome 18, whole genome shotgun sequence.
ACCUGGCUGGCUUAGUCAUUAGAGCAUGGGACUCUUGAUCUCAGGAUUAUGAGUUCAAGCCCCAUGUUGAAUA